ACCAUUAUUGUUCAGUUUCACAGCCAGGUUUCUCUUACUUCUUACUGGUUUCUUACGAAACCCUAAUCUCUAUCCAACCUCUCAAAUCUCUGUAUUUAUUUAAAUGAUUUUAACUCACACCUUUAUAUUUUACACUACUCUCUACUCGAUCUUCACGAUUGCUUAAGUUUAAACAUUUUGUUCCUUUUUUAAAACUAGGGUUUUCUGAAACCCUUUCAAAAUCACUAUAUCUUCUGAUUUUUUGAGUAUUAUAUGUUUGUGUUUGUGUAUGUGUUCUUUUCUUGUUUGUGUGAUCUUCUGGUUAUUCUCCGAGUUGUAUGCUUUAGUUUUUCUAUUAAGGUUCCAGCCUUCUAUUGAUUCUAUGAUUUCUUGCUUAGGGUUCUCUGAUUUUCAUGCCUAUUGUGUUUAAUAGGUCUAAUUAUUCAUUGUUUACCAAAUAUUCUGCUGAUUUUGUGCAUCUCUUCGAAUCCCUGAUUUUGUAAAUGUUUUCCUUAGAAGUUGAACACCUCAUCUGUGAUUCUUUCAACUAAUUUGUGUGCACAAUAUGCUGCAUUAUACUUUCCUUACUUGAAAAUAUUCUGUAUUCAGUCCUUAUCACAUGCAUCGUACUUUUACUAUUCCUAUUAUGGAAAUAUCAGUCUUGCAAACAAUUAUUUUCCUUAUUUGAUACAAUUCGUACGCGUUUGAACUAUGACUCCCUAAUUGAAGGGAGUCGAUUCUUUAAUUGAUUCUAAUUGAUAUUAUUUCUUAAAUUAUGAUCAUUCUAUACGUGUUACCUUAUUUUCCACUUGAUUUCAAAACUAUAAAUAGUCUACCCUUUCUUUGGCAUAACACGGAAAAAAACUAUUCUAAACUCUCUCUUACACAUAAGCAUACUCAUUGUUCUCUCUUAUUUUUCUACAUAUUCUCUCUCACUUCUCGUGUUGACUACUGGUUAACUAGUCGGCUGACAACCAAGACUGAGUAACUUGUUACUCUACUGCUGUAUUGCUCUAUACAUUGCUUCUCUUGGUCUACACAUACUACUGCUCUACUUCCCUGCACAUUAGUGUUCUAUAUUAUCUCAAUCAGUCAUUCAUUGCUACUACAUCAAAAGAGCUGAUAUUGGCUCAGUCAAUGUGCCCAAGCAAGCAACAUGGGUCAUCAGGAAGAUCAUUCAAUGCAGAGAGGAUCUUAUGGCAAACCAGCAGCUACAGGNN
rnacentral:lncRNA from 1 species